rnacentral:lncRNA from 1 species
UGAGCAGCACCUGCAACACAUGCCGGCACAGAGCAAAGCAUGGCAGGAGAGAGACCGAACACCAACCCACAACCCCGUUUUUGGCUGAAGUUGAAGUUGCAAGAGUUGUAAGUUGCCUUCUUACCUGGCCAUCCCGACUCUGAACUAGAUCCAGAUCCAGUUGCAGGUGCUGGUGCUGGUGCAGGGUCCAGGUCCUGGUUCCGUCCGUCUUUUGCCAGUUAGUGAUGCCUUCGGAAAAGUUUUCCAGCUUCUUGCGGCUGUCGUCGCUGCAUUUCGGGUCGCGCAAUUAUUUAAUGAAGUUAUACAAUUUUGGCCCAUGUGCUGAUCAGGGACACGUGCAGCAGUCGCUGUGUGCGUGUGCGGUGUGUUGCGGUGAAAAUUUCAUUGCUGGGUUGAAUUUUGUUGUAAUUUGAUUUUUGGUUUGUUGGCUUUUGUUUGAGUUCGCUGCUCAUUCUGCCAGCGCCAUCGUAGACGGCACCAACUUUGUGCAACGGAAUUCAAUUAAGAAAUGUCAAAAUUUUAUUGAACACAAUGCAGAUUCCGGACUCGGCUUCACG